rnacentral:tRNA from 2 species
GCCGAAGUGGCGGAAUUGGUAGACGCGCUGGACUCAAAAUCCAGUGAGUUUUAAUACUCAUGUGGGUUCAACUCCCACCUUCGGCACCA